GUGGGGAAUAUUGGACAAUGGGCGAAAGCCUGAUCCAGCCAUGCCGCGUGUGUGAAGAAGGUCUUCGGAUUGUAAAGCACUUUAAGUUGGGAGGAAGGGCAGUAAGUUAAUACCUUGCUGUUUUGACGUUACCGACAGAAUAAGCACCGGCUAACUUCGUGCCAGCAGCCGCGGUAAUACGAAGGGUGCAAGCGUUAAUCGGAAUUACUGGGCGUAAAGCGCGCGUAGGUGGUUUUGUAAGUUGGAGGUGAAAUCCCCGGGCUCAACCUGGGAACUGCCUCCAAAACUGCAUGACUAGAGUACGGUAGAGGGUAGUGGAAUUUCCUGUGUAGCGGUGAAAUGCGUAGAUAUAGGAAGGAACACCAGUGGCGAAGGCGACUACCUGGACUGAAACUGACACUGAGGUGCGAAAGCGUGGGGAGCAAACAGGAUUAGAAACCCUGGUAGUCC
rnacentral:rRNA from 1 species